rnacentral:rRNA from 1 species
GAUGAACGCUGGCGGCGUGCUUAACACAUGCAAGUCGAACGAAGCACUUUAUUUGAUUUCCUUCGGGGCUGAUUAUUUUGUGACUGAGUGGCGGACGGGUGAGUAACGCGUGGGUAACCUGCCUUGUACAGGGGGAUAACAGUUGGAAACGGCUGCUAAUACCGCAUAAGCGCACAGCAUCGCAUGAUGCAGUGUGAAAACCUCCGGUGGUAUAAGAUGGACCCGCGUUGGAUUAGCUAGUUGGUGAGGUAACGGCCCACCAAGGCGACGAUCCAUAGCCGACCUGAGAGGGUGACCGGCCACAUUGGGACUGAGACACGGCCCAAACUCCUACGGGAGGCAGCAGUGGGGAAUAUUGCACAAUGGGCGAAAGCCUGAUGCAGCGACGCCGCGUGAGCGAAGAAGUAUUUCGGUAUGUAAAGCUCUAUCAGCAGGGAAGAUAAUGACGGUACCUGACGAAGAAGCACCGGCUAAAUACGUG